ensembl:snRNA U6 U6 spliceosomal RNA
GUGCUCACUUCAGUAGCACAUAUAUUAAAACUGAAUGAUACAGAGAGGAUUAGCAUGGUCCCUGUGCAAGGAUGACACACAAAUUCGUGAGGUGUUCCAUGUUUUU